rnacentral:rRNA from 1 species
CGGGUGAGUAACGCGUGGAUAACCUGCCUUUCACAGGGGGAUAACAGCUGGAAACGGCUGCUAAUGCCGCAUGAGCCUCUUUUAUCGCAUGACGGGAGAGGGAAAGAGAAAUCGGUGAGAGAUGGAUCCGCGUCCGAUUAGCUAGUUGGAGGGGUAACAGCCCACCAAGGCGACGAUCGGUAGCCGACCUGAGAGGGUGGACGGCCACAUUGGGACUGAGACACGGCCCAAACUCCUACGGAAGGCAGCAG